rnacentral:ncRNA from 25 species
UGCCUAAACGCGCAUCGUGGGGGGCAGGAAACUGCCCGCCAUGAAAUGCACGCCGGUAACGGGAACGCGGUGCGAGCGGAUAUCCGCUCAAAUCCGGGGCUGUCCCUGCAACUGUAAGCGGCGAGCGUUCGGCUUCUGGCGUCUCCCUUGGAAGGCGCGGCCACUGGGCUUCAUGCCCGGGAAGGUGAUGCCGGCGCGAUGACCCGCAAGCCAGGAGACCGACCGCGCGUGUGUCGCUCUUG